GAAAAAAAAAGUAGGUCUCCAAUUGCAGUUACUUCUUCCACUCGUACUGUUGCAGAUUUUAUUAAAUAAAUUUAUGGAACAACCAAUAUCCCAACUAAUAUCAACUAUUUCUUUUUGGGUGCCUGAAGAAAUAAAUAAGCGUAAGUAUCAAGAAUUAAAUCAAUAAAAUUAGAUGAUAAUAUAAUACCUCCAGCAUGACCCAUGCGACGCCCUGGUGGGGCAGUAAGUCCAGCUAUAAAUGCCACAAUAGGCUUUUGAGUUCCACUUUCCUGUUUGUUGAACCAAAGUAGUUGUUGAAUUUCAGAAAUAGGAGAAUGAGAUUCUAUUAGAUUAAAAAAAGGGGGGUUUAAGAUGAACAAAGUUUAAGAAACCGCACUGUUAGUUAAUGAAUUGAGCAUAAUACAAUAUGUUAUCAAGGGAGCCAGAAUUUUGCAAGAGAAAGAAUCAUCUAUAGAGAAACAAAUAGACAAAUGUUGCACAGGUGUUGAUCUAUAUUUUAUACACAAGCACAAGACUGGUAAUGGCUUGGAGUUAAGAGGAAGAACUAAAUGCGUGAAAUGAUCAGCUUAAUGUUCAAUUCACCCCUAUACUUAUUGAGAAUGUUCUAUUUAGCUCAUUUUCAAUGUUUUGUCUAAACAAGCCCAGGAGUUUCAAUUCAAACUCAAUUUAGUAAAAAAAAAGUUGAGCUUCUUGAUGUUUAGGUUAAAUUAAGAAUUCAAUAAAUAUAGCUCAAAAAUAAAGAAAAAUUAGCUUGCUGAUUUUGCAAAUUUAACUUUCGGGCUAAAUUGAACUUAAAAUGAAACAUCUGAACUAAUUUGGGAAAAAAGUUCAAAAUUAGCUAAAUUGGACAUCCCAGAAAAGUACAGAGGUGAACCUUUAGUUUGAAAGGAUCCAUACAGCAAAAAGAAAAUUGUGUUGAAUAUGGUCAGUAUUUUUAGAUCAGAUCAAUCUCAACUAUUGUUCUCUGUAAAAGAGCACAAGGGCAUCAUCGGCAGAUGUGAGAGUUUACAUAAAACUUCUGGCUCUGGCAUAUAAGAUUGAAGAUGCAUAUCCCGCUAAAUCUAAACAGUUUAGCAUUUUUACUCAAAAAAAUAACUCAUUACAAAAAGUGGUGGUGUAUUAUUGACUAAAGUGCAACCCAUCCUUUUUUGCACUUUUAUAUUGUAUUAACUUUAUCUAUUACUAUAACUUGUCACUUUUAUGUCGUAGAACUUUAUCUAUUCCUACAGAUCGUUAAGAUCGCCACAGCAGUGCGUUGACUGGGAUAGAAAUUACAAAUGCUUAAUUGGAGAGCUUGCCAAAGGUAUGAGAAUAUUGGCCUGUCACAUGGAUAUCUAUUUGUGCUGGAUGAGUCGCUUGUGCAUGUUAGACGAGUAUCAUGUAAAAGAAGUUUUAUCUUAGCUUAACAAUUUCAUUAGGAAUGCAUUUCAUUAUCUUUGUUUUCUUUGUUGGCAGCAGUAUCAUUUUGGAUCUUUGAUUGGAGAUCUCUUUCUUCUGUUGUCUUUGUUGCAUCUUUUUAGCUCUUUUCUUUUUUUCACUUCCUAACUAUUGGAAUUUUAUCCUUCCCUUCAACGCUGCUAAGCAUGAUGUAGUCUCUCUCCCAGCCAGUACACGCCCUCAAAUUUCUCAGAGCUUCCUUGUCGUUGUACAUCAAGGAAACCACCAGGGCAACUGAAGUACAUGAUCUUGUCAAGGGAAUUUCACUCAAGGGAGUUGGGCCCAGCAUUGGGACUCUGCUGGAAUCUUUUGCAUUUGUAGGCAAGAAGAAGUGAACAAAUGGAAGAGUGUGGAAGAAGUAGGCAUGCCUUUGAAUGAAAGAGAUAGCAGUGUGAAUGAGAGAGGCUUCUAAAGGUUUCAGUGUUCAAGAAAUGGGAAGAAACCCCAAAUGGCAAAAAAAAAUGCAAAAUUUUCUACAAGAAGAAACAAAAGAAGAAAUUGCUGAUACUAAGAAAAGAAAAUUGAAUCGAAUUCUGGAAGUUAUUAUAUUGUGAAGUUAUGCUAUGUUGAUGGAUCAGCUUAUGAUUUUGUUUAAAAGUGUUUUGCUUACUCCGUAGUUGUGAUUUUGUGUUUGGAAUUAAUUGAAUUAUGAAAAGAAUGAGGAUAUUGAAUAGGGAAAGAAUGGGGAAGAGGACGAGAGAGAAUUUUUUUUGGAGAAAGAAAAGAGACUAUGUGGAGGGAAAGAAAAAGUUUCAUAAUAUUAAACUAACAUAAUCAACACGCCAAAUCAGCAUUCUGGCCAAGAGAAACCAUGGGAAUCUGGACACAAGGUUUUUUGUGCAACAAAAAUAAAGUUAAAAGAUUUUCAUGGCAGUUGUUGAAAUUUAAGGACAGAAGUUGAAAACCCUCACAGUUAAAGAUAGGGGCAGUGCAAUUAACCCAAGUGAUGCAUAUUAACAACGUGAGUGGAUUGUUAGAGAUUACUCGAUUAGAACAGUGUACAAGAAAAUGCAAAAGCAUGCACAUUCCUUAGAACAUGAGAAAACAAAUCUAGUUACCUUAAUCAAAGCAGCGGCAUCCUCCUCUGCAGUACCUCCUAUUUCACCAAUAAGAAUGAUACCUGCAAUGCAAUUCACAUUACUGGUCCCACAUCUGCAUUAGGAUCAACAUCAUAUACCAUACACAUUUGAAAAGAGGAUUCAGAGGGAAAAUACCAGGGAACUAGAAAACCAAAAUGAUGUAAAUGUGUGAAAAAUUAUUAGGUCUUUAAAAGAGUCCAACCAAAUAUUUUUCUUAUAUGCAGAAUAACCUUGGAAAACUAAAGCCAAAAAUAGUUGAGCAGCGCUCAAAACAUACAUUGACAAUAAUCUAAAAUUCAAGAGUUACUAACAUCAAAAGUUCAAAAUCAUACAAUCUAUGUGCCUCCUGAGAUAGUUGGCAUAUAUAGGAUAACCUUUAUCUUUUUGGUCAACCCGGAAUGAUUCUCUAGGUGAUUCAAAAUUGAAGCCCAUAAAAACCUCACAGUUAUCAUUGGUUUUCUAGAGAUCAUACAUGUCAUUGGAUCUCUUGUUUCAAGUUGAAAACUCCUAUUUUGUUUAUUUUUUUAUCUUAAAAAAAAUGAGGUUUGCACGGAAUGCGAGCAAAAUCGAACUUUUCUUAUAAAGUGUGCAAACUGACAUUGGGAUAUCUAAGAACCUAGGGACAAAUUAGGUUGCAGCUUUGCACACAUUCCAUGAAAAAAGCAAUGAGGUAUACAUGCCUCAGACCUAGCCUAACCUAACUAGUGAUAGAAAUUGGAAACAAGUGAGAGCUUACACAGUUGUGGUGUGUUACAGAAGAUACUAAUUCGAACUCUAAUGGAGAAAGACAGGCAUAUAAAGAAUAAUUUCCAAGGUGUGUUUGCUUCAAUCGACUAGAUUGGACUACAGAGGGCAAAUUAUCCCAUCCUAUAACUGGUGCACUAAUUGAAUAAGAUAUGGAUUUCGUCACAUUCAACCCUCUCUCUUUUUGCCCCUUUCCCUCAGUGGAUAGAUCGUUCAUUCCAAAGGUAAAAGAGCAAUAAAAUUUAUGGUUAAGAAAUAUUCCAAGAUAAUUAAAAUACCAAUAUUAUAAAUAAAAAAAGGUAUUUAAGGUAAUAUUUAUUAUUUAUCAUAUAUCCAUAAUUAUUUGAAAAUUUUACUACUUAGUCCCUGAGUUUCAUCAAUAUAAUUAAAAUAUCAAUUUUACUACUUAAAAUUUCAUUCCUCAAUUUUGUAAUUAAUUACAAUUUCAUCCAUCAUAUCCAUCUCUUCGUUUCUCCCUCUCUCCUUGACACUCUCCCUCUCCAUAUAUCUCUCUCCUCCACAAGAGAUGAUAUAAGGGGUUUAAAAUUAAAGGAUGAAAUCAUAAGUAAUUGCAAAACUAAGGGAAUGAAACUAUAAAUAAUUCAAUAUAUCAGUACUAAAUAGUAAUUUAUCUUAAAAUACUAAUGCAAAAUGGAUGAAAGGACCUAAUUACCUAUGACAAGCAAAAUCGGAGAACCAAUUAUCUAAUUUCUAAAUUACUAUUCGUGAAAAAAAAUCUAAGGACUAAACAGUAAAUUUUCUUUAUUAUUUUAAAUAAUUGUCUUAUCAUACAUGAUCAAACAUAAAACAGGAUGAGUAUGGUGACAUGGCCAUGUUUGCUUGUGGAAAACAAUUUUACUUUUCAUUUCAUGUUCUAAGAAAAUUUUUGUUUUCAUACUUUGUAUGAAAAACGAGGAAAACAUGCAAAAUACAUUCACCCAUUACUAAUAGCAAAAUAUUUUCUAAUUCAAAAAAAUUAAAAGAACUAUUCAUAUCUUUUUCUUUAAUAAUUAAAACUCAUUUUAAUAUAUAAAUUAAAAACUUAUUUUACUUUUGGGAUAUUGGCAUUAAAAAGCCGAACCUUUGCAGGUUUUAUCGUUUUAAUCCAAUUCUUUUAUUCUUGGCAUAAUAAACCGGAAUCAAAAACCAUUUUGCGAUUCUAUCAAAAUUCCUAAUAGCAGAGCGUGUGUCAACAACUGAGGUGACGUGUAAUAGAAUUUUUUAUUACUUUUAGAUGGGACCCGUACGACACCUAGGGUACCACCACUUGUCAAUUAACCCUUUGGUUAAGAAAAUAACCAAGGAUUGUGUGAUUUAAGGAAAUAAAAAUCUCAAAACACUCAUCUUUCACCCCAAAACCCAUUUCCAACUCCUCUAGUCAUUGGAUCCAUCACUUAAGAAAUCCUUCCAAUCUCACAUUCAAUUCCUAGCUCAAGCCUUCCUGUAGCAACUUCAUUUUCAUAAAUCCAGAACCAGCUCACAAGACCUCACACACCUUGAGCCCCCCCACUCAAUCCAUCCACUCCUGUCCAACGUAUUUAAUGCUCAACAGAGAGUUCUCCAAAAGCCUCAGCUCCUUGGCCAUUGCUGCACCACCAACCUCUCCACCUACAGCUCUAACCUCGCCCAACACCCAUAAUUACAAACCCAUCUCACCUUUUUUUUUUUUUAUAUUCGUUCUUGGAACAGAAUACAUCUAUUUAUCAUUCAAGGGAGAAGCACAUGGGUAUUCUUCCAACAGUAGAGACUCAAAUUCAACUCUAAACCGAAGAAGCAAUUGGGCCCAAUACACUUUCUGCAGGUUCCUAUCAAUCCCAUUCAUACAGAAGCACCAACUCAAUCUCAUGCCGCAGAUCCUGGAAGUCCCAGAAUUGUCAUUCGUCCUCUUCUUUCCAACUGAAUGCUCUCAACACUAAAUUAGCAUACCCAGCUUGCAGAUAUCAUAGAACCCAUCAUGAAUGAUUACUGGAGUUUGAUUUUGUGUCUAUACAUUGAAUAAACUGAUGAUAGGAUUGCUUGUUUCCUUUCUCCCAUGUUUAACACACUAAUGGCUUUCUCUUUCUCUAGCUCAGCUAAGAGUUCUCAAUUUGGGAAUUAGGGAUUCUGUGAGCUUAAUUUUUAAUUAAUGACUUCCUUUUUCUCUAUCUUAAUUUUAUUAAUUUGCCUUUAAAUUAAAAUAAUUGAUAAAUUAACAACAGUUACUUUUGUGUAACCAUGGUAAUCUUAGGUGUCUUGUUGGUCCCACUCGAAAGUAAUAAAAAAUUUCAUAAAUAUACCACGUCAGCUAUUAGCACCCGCUUCCUUUUUAGAAUUCAAAUUUGAAUAGAAUUGCAAAAAAGUUUUAGAUCUUGGCUUAUUGUGUCAAGAAUAAAAGGAUUGGAUUAAAACGCCAAAAUCCGUAAAUGUUUGGCUUUUUAAUGCCAAUAUCCCUUUACUUUUUUAUGUAUUAUUCAUUUAUUUUAUUAUAAUAUGAUUAAUCUUUUUGUCAUUGUAAAUAUAUAACUUUUUAAAAUAAUUAUUCAAUAUUAGUUAUGGAAAAUUAUAGUACAAUUUUAUUUAUCAAAAGCAAUUAUUAUUUUCCAUUUAGAAUACAGUUGGAAAAUAAGAAUUUUGUUAUAUUGGAAAAUGGUGAAAACAACAUAAGUUGUUUUCCAAAUCAUAAUUAAAUUUGAAAAACUAGAAGCUAGCUUUUCAAUUCGCCAUCUAGAAAACUGGCACAUGUGAGCACUAAACUCUAUUUUCCAUUUCAUAACUUUCUUGUUUUGUCCUAUGUUGUAUUUUCCUUGCACCAAAUGCAACCCUAUACAGCAGGAGAUUUUGGCUUUUAUUGAAAGAAUUGGGAGUUUGGUUGAUUUAACUAAUUAAACAAGCAAGCAAGACCAAAUAUUUAAUCCUUUCCCUUGAAUCAGGAGAGAACCUAAAUUUGGAAUUACCAUAUUGAGGAAAACAGAAAAACCCAAACACCUGCAUUUGGAACGGUAUACCAUACAUUUAGGAAAACAGAACUGCCCAAACAACCUGAAGAGUCUUUCUUAAAAAGAUUGGAGUUUCAAAAGGUCUUUCUUGCAACACUUGAUUAUCUAUGGCCCUUUUCAUCAUUAACUGAAAAAUGAUUCAUGCAUCCAACACAAAGCAUGCUUUUGGCAUUACUCUUCAAAAUAUGAAAAUGGCAAAUAUGAACUGAGAAAGCAAGAUCAAUCACUUCUCAAUUAGAAGUUUACCUUCAGUCUGAGGAUCUACAAGAAACUUCUCCAGGCAGUCAACAAAAUUUGUACCAUUGAAAGGAUCACCACCAAUACCUACACAAGUAGAUUGCCCUAGACCAACAGCAGUUGUUUGAAAGACCUAAUGUAUCAUAAGAAAUGAAGUCAUUCACAAAAUUUACAAAAUCUGUUUAUGAUCAGCAAGUUGCACCAUGGGCAUUAGGCAGAUUAUCAAUGUCAUAGGACCAACAUAUCAUUUGUGAAUAAUUUGUUUACAUGCCCUACUUUGGCUAUCUUACCAUCGAUUACUGGGAAUUUACAACAAACUUAGAAUUAUGGCUGUGAGGUGAUGGCAUCACAUAUAUGAUGUAUUGGAUUGGUGUACAAUGAGAUCAUGCAAGCUAUUGUUUCAACAGUACCUAAAGUUUCUAUAUAUUUUAAUGCACCAUAAACUGAACCUAUAUCAGCAUUAAGAUAAACAGUAAUAUUGCAAGGCAUGUAGCCAGAUAAAAAUAAUCUCAAUAAUUAGCUGAAAAUUGGUAAACAAAGGUCUAAUCUUUACCAACUAAGAAAGUUAAUGAAAUUAAUAUUUUAAGUGGAUUGAAUUCUCUUUCACUUUUUUAGAAAUGAUAAGAAAUUUUUUCAAAGGAAAGGAUGAAGAUAUGAAGAUGGAGGAUAUGAAUCCACCUGCCCCAAGGAAAAAAAUUAAAAAGAAAAAAGAAAAAGAAAAAUUGCAACGUAUCAACAGACUUUAGAAAUGGAAAAAGAUUGUAUUUCGAAAAUAACCAACGUAUCAACAGACUUUUCCUCUAUAGGAACUCAAUAAAAGAAAAAUAAAGCUGUCCAGAAUAGCACAGCCCCAGGACUCAAUCCCGAGCAGAGAAUUCUGCCCCUUACAAAGAAUAUUUCCCAAAACAUGCCUCCCUUAUUAUUAGCUAAUCAUUAUAUAGUACUCUAGCUCUCCAGCUACCACAACUAAUUCUUUGCCACCUAAUAUUCCCUGUGUAUUGUCUCUAUCAGCUGCAGUCCUACUGUCCCACUAUCCAUGGUUCUAUUGCCAUCCAUUGUGACCUUAAUCCUUCUAGAGUAGACCCUCAAUGGCCUAGGCCAGCCCAUUCUCUAUCAUUGGGCUUCACCAAAUCAGGCCAGCACCUGGCAUGGGAGGAGUUUCCAACUUUUUAAGGAAGGGUUUUUCUUAUAAUAUGCGAAUACUAUACUACUAUAUAUUACACUUGAAUUUGUUAAUCCCUCCACCUGUGCAUGAUAUUUAAUCACUCCAUUUGGUUAAUCCCUCCACCAAUGCUAGAAAUCACUGGAUGAUGCAACUUAUAAAAGCAUACACCUGAAUACAAAAGUGUAAAUCACCUGACAAUUCAAUUCGCUAUUGUCAGCAUAACACCUGAGCAAUCCAUAAAAUAUUUGCCGCAGAAAUUGGCAACAUAUAAUUUCAGGUCAAAUUUUAUGUCUAACAAGUUAGGCUAAGCUAUAAUGCAAAUGUGCAAUCACAUUUCUUAAAAGACAUCAAAUCAAAAGACAUGUACGAUUAAUCAAGUUUAUUAAAAGAUAUCAAAUUCAAAAGGCAUGUGAUACAUACGUGAAACAUAUGCAAGUAUAAUAGCUUAACCAUACUUGGCAAGAAUUACUUAACAACUUCAAGGAACUUUAUCAAGGCCAUAAAACUAUGUAUAUGAGGCUCAUAAAAUAGAUGAGAUAAAUAGAAGAAAUGUCAAGA
rnacentral:lncRNA from 1 species